UUAUUUUGCUAAUACAUUCCAAUCCAAGUUUCAUUGCUUGUUCGAUGAGCCUUAUAUGUGGUCUAUUGUAGUUAUGUGUUUUUUUCACUUAAAUUUAUUCUUUUGUUUUGUGUGUUUUUUUUAGUAUGAUUUUUCUGCUAUACAACUGUACCACAUGUUUUUUUUUUUGUUGGUUGAUGCUACAACUUAAUGUGUAUCUAAUGGCUAUAUUCUACUUAAUAUAUGUGGUAGAUGAAUGUUUUGUCGAAUUUUAAGAAACUCUCAUGCAAAGGUUAAGUUUAAUCAUAUUGUUUUAAUAUGUCAAUUAUCAUAUAUAUAGUAAUUUAAAAUUAAUUGCGAUAGCAGUUAUUCAAAAUAUUAAUUCCACAUCUAUGCAACUUCUGAUAAGUUUUUCCUAUUAGAUAUAUACCGAUUGAUUUCUUUGUUUAUCUGCUUUUAAAUUUUGUUUUUUUAGUGUUUCUUUAGUUCUCUUUUGAAUGGUUAUUGUGUAUUUUUUUUAGAUAUCAUUUUAUUAUUUGAAUUUGAAAUAAUGUAGAACCGCCUAAUUAAGUAAGCCAUUUAUGAUAAAAAAAAAAAAUUGUAUUGAUUUUAUUGUUAUUUUUCUUAGGGUAAAAAGACUGGAGAAAGACACUGUAUUUAUAGCGAAACAAAACUUGCGACUUUAUGGUGGUAUCAUCUUUCAAAGUAACAACCAAUUAAGAGGUCUAGAUUCUGUUUAUUGCAUAUGUGACAUUUGGCUAGGCAAAUUCUUGUUGGGAGAGAUUGAUUCCAUUUUAUUAUAGGGUAUAUUCAUGCAUGUCAGAUCUAAUAAACAUAUCCAAUCGCUUUAUAUAUAUCUCCAAUUUAAAGCUUGCCAGUUGAGUUUUUGUUUGACCGGAAAGGUGCUUAUUUAGCUGAUAAGAGUGCUCGGAGAUCAGAUAUUUGGUAGAAUUAAUCGAAGUACGCACAAGCUGAUUCGGCAUAUCAUGAUCAUUAAAAAAUGUCUUUGUGUGUUGUUGUGCAUGAGGUUCAAGAAGUCUUGUAUUAAUUACAUGUCGCCGCGCAUAGGGUUCAAGAAGUCUUAAUUGCAUGUGAUCGCGCAUGGGUUUGUUGCAACAAAGUGUGCAUAAGUGCAGUAGUGCAUAUUGUUAAAUUUUCUGUGCAAGUGUUGUUUCAAGGAUGGUUAUGCAUGUAAUUAUGAUUUUGCUUCCUAAUAUUAAAGGGCUAUAGAAGUUGUAUUUGGCUAUGAGUUCAACUCAAAAAGAAUCUGAAUUAGUUUAAUUUUAAUAUGGAUUUUAGAUACCGAUUGAGAAAUUAAAAAUAAAAUAAAAUUUUGUAGGCAUACAACAAUAU
rnacentral:lncRNA from 1 species